rnacentral:lncRNA from 1 species
CUGAAUCUCUCCAAGAAUUCUUCCGUUGACUAACUAUCUGGUGUUCAUCAAAUCAACUACUAAAAUGUUAGGAUGAGAAGAACAGAACUUGUCAUGGAAGCAAUGCUCCAUUUCAGCCUAAUUGUUGAUGAAAUUGGGUGGUAAGUUGGAUUACUAUGUUAAAUUCGUCCCUAUCAAGGACAAAGGGGAAAGAUGUAGAUGAUAGAAAUCAUUUUGGGUACCUCACACUAGACAGCGAAAACUUAAAGAUUGACAUAUUAAUGGUCAACUUCCGGUCUUCACCUGAGAAUGUUGCAAUGUCUUGAACCUUCGUGGCAAUGGUGUUGCCUUAUCAUUACACUCAGGAUAAGGUUUCUUGUAAAU